UGAUUCAAGUCCUGUUCCAAUCGUCUGUCCCGUACUGCGGUCCUGCAUAAUAAAAGAACCAUAUAUAAAAUAUGUAUCGCAAUGGAGGGUACGAGUCACACGACUAACAGAUGCAAAAUUAAAAGGACAGCCAGGGACAUGAAGAACGGAAUCUAGAGUGACAGAGGGUAGGGGAUUCGCUUGUCCAACUCCUUUUGCUUUAGU
rnacentral:lncRNA from 1 species